UGAAAAAUUCAGUGGCAGGUCAGCGGGUCUCAAACCAGUCCGAGCUGCUGCGGCAAAAGAGCCGUGGUGGUGCGCGUCGGAUGAAAAAGUUCGGACGAGAUCCGAGCAGGU
rfam:Rhizobium etli CIAT 894 Cont346, whole genome shotgun sequence.